rnacentral:tRNA from 1 species
GUUUCCAUAGUGUAGUGGUUAUCACGAUCGCCUUACACGCGAAAGGUCCCCAGUUCGAAACUGGGUGGAAACA